UGGGGAAUAUUGCACAAUGGGCGCAAGCCUGAUGCAGCCAUGCCGCGUGUAUGAAGAAGGCCUUCGGGUUGUAAAGUACUUUCAGUCGGGAGGAAGGUGUCAAGGUUAAUAACCUUGGCAAUUGACGUUACCGACAGAAGAAGCACCGGCUAACUCCGUGCCAGCAGCCGCGGUAAUACGGAGGGUGCAAGCGUUAAUCGGAAUUACUGGGCGUAAAGCGCACGCAGGCGGUUGAUUGAGUCAGAUGUGAAAUCCCCAGGCUUAACCCGGGAAUUGCAUCUGAUACUGGUCAGCUAGAGUCUUGUAGAGGGGGGUAGAAUUCCAUGUGUAGCGGUGAAAUGCGUAGAGAUGUGGAGGAAUACCGGUGGCGAAGGCGGCCCCCUGGACAAAGACUGACGCUCAGGUGCGAAAGCGUGGGGAGCAAACAGG
rnacentral:rRNA from 1 species